GCGCUUUCCGGGGGUUCGGGGAACUGCCCUCUUUCCCGCGGUCUGGCUCCUUCGAAGUGGCCUGAACAAGGCUCAGAGAGGCCGCCGCUUCCAAAGGAACGUUUUUCGACAGCUCCGGCGCUUCUCGGUGCCCGGCUACUCUGGCCCUUGCCCUUUGACCCCGCUCUCGCGGCGGGGGUGAGAGGUCGGGUGGCCAUCUUGUGGCGGCGGCGCGGGCGGCUGUUACAGCGGAGGCCCAUCCCCUCCCCCUCCUUGCGCCCCUGGCAGUCGGCAAAAACGUCCCGCAGUCUGUCCGGUGAGGCCCCAAUCGCACGCUAGUCCCGUCGCACUGGGCGGCCCAGGCCGCUCCCUGCCGGGCCUCACUGCCGCCACUAUGUCCUCCUUCUCGGAGUCGGCGCUGGAGAAGAAGCUCUCGGAGCUGAGCAACUCCCAGCAGAGCGUGCAGACCCUGUCCCUGUGGCUCAUCCACCACCGCAAGCACGCAGGACCCAUCGUCUCGGUGUGGCACCGCGAGCUCCGCAAAGCUAAAUCAAAUAGAAAACUUACAUUUCUAUACUUGGCGAACGAUGUCAUCCAAAACAGUAAAAGGAAAGGACCUGAGUUCACUAGAGAAUUUGAAUCUGUCCUUGUGGAUGCUUUUUCUCAUGUUGCCAGAGAGGCAGAUGAAGGCUGUAAAAAACCUUUAGAAAGAUUGCUGAACAUCUGGCAAGAACGAAGUGUGUAUGGCGGCGAGUUCAUACAGCAGCUGAAGCUGUCUAUGGAGGACUCCAAGAGCCCUCCCCCCAAAGCAGCAGAAGAAAAGAAGUCUCUAAAGCGGACUUUUCAGCAGAUACAGGAGGAGGAGGAUGAUGAUUACCCUGGAAGCUACUCUCCCCAAGAUCCUUCUGCAGGACCCCUCUUGACUGAGGAACUGAUCAAAGCUUUGCAGGAUCUGGAAAAUGCUGCAUCAGGGGAUGCUACUGUUCGACAGAAAAUUGCUUCUUUGCCUCAGGAAGUGCAGGAUGUUUCUCUGUUGGAAAAAAUAACAGACAAAGAGGCAGCUGAACGUCUUUCAAAAACAGUAGAUGAAGCAUGUCUGUUACUAGCAGAAUAUAACGGGCGCCUCGCUGCGGAACUGGAAGACAGGCGCCAGCUGGCUCGGAUGCUCGUGGAGUACACCCAGAACCAGAAAGACGUGUUGUCAGAAAAGGAGAAAAAGCUAGAAGAAUACAAGCAGAAGCUCGCGCGAGUCACCCAGGUCCGCAAGGAGCUGAAGUCCCAUAUUCAGAGCUUGCCAGACCUCUCGCUGCUGCCCAACGUUACAGGUGGCUUGGCCCCUCUGCCUUCUGCUGGUGACCUCUUUUCAACUGACUAGGACAGGUGUCAUGCCCCAGAUUCCCAUCUGUGCCAGAGAGAGGAGGGCAAGUCAUGGUUGGAAAUGAUCUUCUGGUCCUGGUUCUAGCCCUUCUUCCACCUGAUCCCUCCGCCUCAAGAAAGAACCGUGGCCUCUGAUUUCCGACUCUCCUCUGCAGCCUCUCACCCUGAGCACAGGACACUGAGCAUGUCCAUCUGCCAAUCACUUCACACCACUGCACGUGUCCGUGUCCCCAUGUGAGGAGGAGGAGGAGGAGCGUUUGCAUCAGAUGUUAUUGAACAGCUCAUCUCGGCAGGGGAGGGGAAAGUUGGGUAUAUUGAUUUGGUUUUUAAUUCCAUUAUCAUGCCAGCUGACACUAUGACUAAAUAAUGUGGUUAGAGAGGCUUUUUAUCUUGUAUCAUAAAGGUCAGUCCUGCAAACCGAAAUCAUUCAAAUUUGGCAGGCCUGUUUUUGACAUUGGAAAGGGCAGAAGACAGUUUGCCCCAAUAGUGUAAUAGGAAUAUGGUCCCUAGGCUGGAUCCAAGACCUGUACAAAGGAAUUCAGUGCAGGGGGCUUGAGAGUCUCCAUCGUUUUGAGUUGUUGUUUUUAGAAUCACCAAAAGUCUAUAUCAUUUUACAUGUUAAACAUAGCCUGUGUUUUACACAGAAUGACAGGUCUCCCUUCCAGAAGCUCCCUUGCACAUGGGCACCAUGACGUGACAACAAGGAAAAGUCGAGCCGGGUGCCUGGUUUGGCUCUGGAGAACCUGGUGGUGCUGGUGCCGUUUCUCAGGUGUGGGUGCAGCUGUGUGGGGCUGGCUUCCUGGCACUGCCUAUUGUCCUGUCAUUGUUAAACUAAUGAGUCUAGAAGGUUUUUCUCCCAGAGGCCACAGGGCAGUAGGUGACUUCACUGAACUUGCAAGAUAAAUUGUAGUCUCUGCUGUUGGUGCGCACCCUCCCGCCGUGCUGCUCCAGGGUCGUGCAGGAGUUGGUUCUGAACAGACCUGCUUUGGACGCUCUGCUUUCACCAAGGAGGCAAAAUUUUACCAGCCACAAACCAGGCAAAAGACUGUAUUUGCUCUGAUCAGCUGGGUGAAAAUACGACAGCAUGAGGGAUUCAGCCCACUGCUGUGUUUUAUCCACCUGAGUUAAUUAUUAUCCACCGAUUGGUGCGUAAUUAUUAUAGCAAGAGCAAGAAAUGAACCUGUAGCAAUUAUGUAAAUGAAUGUGUUGGCCUCUUAACACCUGUUACUAGUGGACUUCCUGUGAGGAAGAUAGUUUUGUUUUAAUGAAAUGCUUUUUUAAAUCUUUAUUCUCUUUCCCUCACCUCUCAAAGUGUGCUUACUUCAUUUAAUUUAAGUGAACCUUUCUCCUUGUCUGUAAGAGGUGGUCUGUGGGGCGGGGUGGGUGGUUUUGGUUUGUGUUGUUUCUUUACUUAGGGCAUCCGUAGGCCUCAAGGGACCUUUCCUUUAGGUCAUAUUCCUCAGAAAGUCUUUAAUCUUCCUUUGCUUUUGUUUUGUUUUUCUUAAAGAAUAUUUUUAAAGCUUAAAUUUGUAUAUUAAUUUAGGACUUUAUUUAGAAGUAUAGGCUGCCAUUGGUGGCAGCAGUAUAUUCUGAAAUGUCUCAUAGAUAUAUAUUUUUGAAUAAAG